AGCAGCCGCGGUAAUUCCAGCUCCAAUAGCGUAUAUUAAAGUUGUUGCAGUUAAAAAGCUCGUAGUUGAAUUUCGGGAUCAAUACGUCGGUCGUGCUUUCGGGUACGUACUGGCGUCAUUGGUUUCUCCUUUCUGACGAACCAUGAUGUCAUUAAUUUGGUGUUAUGGGGAGUUAGGACUGUUACUUUGAAAAAAUUAGAGUGUUUAAAGCAGGCAUUAGCUUGAAUACAUUAGCAUGGAAUAAUGAAAUAGGACGUUCGAUCCUAUUUUGUUGGUUUCUAGGAUCAACGCAAUGAUUAAUAGGGAUAGUUGGGGGCAUUAGUAUUCAAUUGUCAGAGGUGAAAUUCUUGGAUUUAUUGAAGACUAACUACUGCGAAAGCAUUUGCCAAGGAUGUUUUCAUUAAUCAAGAACGAAAGUUAGGGGAUCGAAGACGAUCAGAUACCGUCGUAGUCUUAACCAUAAACUAUGCCGACUAGGGAUCGGAUGAUGUUAAUUUUUUAAUGACUCAUUCGGCGCCUUACG
rnacentral:rRNA from 1 species